GUGGUGUAUGUUGUGUAUGUUGUGUACGUGGUGUAUGUGGUGUAUGUUGUGUACGCGGUGUAUAUGGUGUAUGGUGUAUGUUGUGUACGUGGUUGUAUGUUGUGUACGCGGUGUAUGUUGUGUACGCGGUGUAUACGGUGUACACUGUGUACAUGGUGUACCCGUUGUUCGACACCUAUCCGAUACCCGGAUGGCCGAGGGAACAGAAAGGCUCUGACCGCCGCUCGGAGCACGGGAUGUCUGAAUGAAACAAAGCCGCCGGGUGUGUAAUGCUGCGUGUGCUGGUAAGCGUUGUGUUUAUUAUAACCUGCUCUUCUAUUCGUAGCUCUUCCACGUAAGCAUGGAGGAUUAUUACGUAUGGUGGAACACCUUUUAGAGACGUGCUCGACGGGUAAAUGAGAACUCUUACAACUUUAAUGUGGUGAUUAUAUGAUUUUGGACUCCAUACGAUCAGGUUCUCGGAGGUAAAGCUUCUCACACUGGUGGAUCAGAUGUAAACGUGACACUGUGGAACUGGUUUCCUGGUAAGGGUGUGUGUGAGGAGCACAGCUACAGCGUAGUGUCUCUCUCUCUCUCUCUCUCUCUCUCUCUCUGUAUACGAGUCAUCUGAGGUGAACAGGAACGAUAUACACUGGCCUGGAGCUCGAGCCAAGGCCUGACGCAUGCUCUGACAUUCACACACACGAGCAGCAGGGCCAUGUGAGGGUCAAACGUGUACGCGUGCGCGCACGCAAAUGUCUGCCGCGAUGGGCUUUUCCGUAGAGUGCUUCCCCUGCUUAAUAGUCUCAGCUGUUGCUCGACGGGAGACGAGUGUGUGCCGUGGAGCGGAGUGUGCGUAAGCCAUGUAGCCUUAUCGAGGAGCCAGACGGCGUGCUAUAGCCAGUGCCUAUAUUAAGAGCUCUCAUUUAAAGCCGCUGCCAUUUCACAUAUGCGUGCACACGCACACACGCACGCACGCACGCACGCACGCACAUAUAUAUUGUAUAUAUACACACAAGCAGCGCUCCCAAUGAGACCCCCAACCACAGCCAUGAUGGAAAAACACUGCGCUGUCCAAUCCAGAGAAACACGGUGAAUCGCGUGUGUAAGAACAAUGCCACAGUGUGUAAAGAGAAUUCCUCUGCAAAUGCAAAACUCUCGAGAGGAGCUACAAUGCCAAAACUCCACGCACUCGCACACUCGGCCCUUAGAGGAGAGUCGCGCAAACCCAUUUGGGAAAUUGUCUUUUUUUUUCUCCCUUAAACCAUCCUGAAAGUGAGGGAACGGCUGAGUGCGGCGCGGCGCAGAUCUCCAGGUUUUAUGAAUCAGUUACAGCAGGACUUUCAGGAACGGAUCUGGAGCUCAGCUAUGAUAAAUACCAGGACCGUUCGCAAAUUAGCAUAAAUCUGCAACAGCUGUACGGCUGACAAACACGCUCUUCUACAGAGAAGAAAAAAGGGCUCUUUGUGUUUCUCGCGGUUAUGCAACAACAACAGGUAACUGACACCUGAGCACAAAGUGGGCCUUUUGGACUGAUCCGGGAUCUGAUCUCGCAGCCUUUCACACCGGUUUGGGACGGAAUUCUUUUGGACCCAUGUGGCUUUUAGAAAGCUGGCGUAUAUAAAAGCGCUCUGUCUUUGAUCUGGGUUUGGGUCAUGAAGCUUUUUGGACUUAUCUGGGAUCAUAACGUUUUUGGACCGAUCUUGGAUCGGAUCUCGAAGGUUUUUGGACUAACGUGGGAUCAGAUAACGAAGAUUUUUAGAUUUAGCUUUGAUUGGAUAACAAAAAUGUCUGGACUCUUAGAUAGGAUCUUGAAGCUUUUUGGACUGAUCUUAGAUCGGAACACGAAGCUUUUUGGACUGGUCUGUGAUCAGAUCAGAAAGGUUUUUGGACUGAUCUGUGAUUGGACCAUGAAGCUGUCCUGGGAUCAGAUCACGAAGCUUUUUGGACUGACCUUGGAUCGGAUCGUGAAGCUUUGUGGACUGGUCUGUGAUCGGAUCAGAAAGGUUUUUUGGAUUGAACAGGGAUUGGAUCACGAGGCUGAUCUGGGUUCACAUCAAAGUUUUUCCGAUUUUUCCUUGAUUGGAUAACAAAAACGUUUGGACUCUUACAGUUACAUCCUAUAUCUUGAAGCUUUCGGGACUGAUCUUGGAUCGGAUCGUGAAGCUUUCCGGACUGAUCUGAGAUCAGACUGCGCUGCCGAUCUAAAACCGGAUCUCUCUGUCUCUGAAACCGAUCUGCGAUUGGAUCCCGUGGCCUUUCAGACUGGUCUGGGAUCAGCUUGCUGUACCUUCGCCUUCGAUCCAGCACUGAACUGCUCUGCCUGAUCCCAGAUCAGAGCGUGUAAAAGAAUUCUGGGUAGGAUGUUUCCGUGUUGCAUCAGACGAACCACGUGCUGCGUGUAGGAGUGCUCUCCCUCGCUCAGGCUCGUGCCGUGUAGAGGGCAGCAGAGAGGGAGGAAGCGGCGAAUGCUCCGACAACGUAAACAAUUCGAAUUAUAAAUCACCAUGCGACCUCAAACCACACGACUGCAGACGGAUUAAAAGCCAUUUGCGUUAAACACGCCGCCGACGAGGAGCUGUUAGCGACCACGCCGCGUAAACAUCUCCGACUGACCUUUUCAGUGUACACGGCACCGACGUAGCGUGCACUGGCUGUACGCGUACAGCGCGUCCCAACUGGUAAUAUGGUGCACUGUCCAGGGAGCGAACUGGGACACAGCCCUCGUGCUAUAAUUCCGUACUCUGAUAAUAAUAAUAAUAAUAAGAAGAAGAAGAAGCAGAAGAAGGAGAAGAAGAAGGAAGAGUGAGAGUAAUAACACAGACACGUGGCGGUGUGACGGCGAGAGCAGAUGAAUCAGAGCGCUGAGCUCACCUCUCACUCUCGGAUGGAGAACACACUUCCUCUCCAGCGUCCCUCGGCUGCGAAGAUCACAUCUGAUGCUCCUCUGAGUGCGCUCUCAUCAGCCGAUCCAGAUCUGUCACUGAGAACAUCACACACAGUUAAUCUCCACAUACGGGAUGCAUUUAAACAAACACACACACACACACACACACACACACACACACCGCGGGUUUUUAAACUGACACGGCCAUCAGAAUUAUUUCUCUGUGAGUCGUCUCAUUGCGACACAACGCGCAAUAAACCCAAAAAACGUGUCCGUGCCUGUACACCACUUCCGUCUCCGUCCUCACACGCGGCGCGGUGUGGCGUGCGCUGGUCCGAAAAGUACGAUUUGGCGAGCGAACGCGCCCGACGUGGCCGUGUGACACUUUUCCUCGUUUGCGAUCGAGGUGCGAUGUGUGUGUGUGUCUCUCUGUGUGUGUGUGUGUGGUUUUUUUUGUUUGUUUUUUUUUUUUAAAAACCUUGAACCUUUCACACGAUCGGAAUUGUUUACGACGGUCCCGGAGAACGGUUAAACGUCUUGCCCGCGGAACUUACGAGCGCUCCUACUGAUCCGGGAACGGGGAACAAAGAGCAACG
ensembl:lncRNA